rnacentral:rRNA from 1 species
UACGAAGGGUGCAAGCGUUAAUCGGAAUUACUGGGCGUAAAGCGUGCGCAGGCGGCUUUGCAAGACAGAUGUGAAAUCCCCGGGCUCAACCUGGGAACUGCAUUUGUGACUGCAAGGCUAGAGUACGGCAGAGGGGGAUGGAAUUCCGCGUGUAGCAGUGAAAUGCGUAGAUAUGCGGAGGAACACCAAUGGCGAAGGCAAUCCCCUGGGCCUGUACUGACGCUCAUGCA